rnacentral:rRNA from 1 species
GCCGAUGUCUGAUUAGCUAGUUGGUGGGGUAAAGGCCUACCAAGGCRACGAUCAGUAGUUGGUCUGAGAGGACGACCAACCACACUGGGACUGAGACACGGCCCAGACUCCUACGGGAGGCAGCAGUGGGGAAUUUUGGACAAUGGGCGCAAGCCUGAUCCAGCCAUGCCGCGUGAGUGAAGAAGGCCUUCGGGUUGUAAAGCUCUUUCAGUUGGGAAGAAACGAUUGCAACUAAUAAUUGUAAUUAAUGACGUACCGACAGAAGA